rnacentral:rRNA from 1 species
UACGUAGGGUGCAAGCGUUGUCCGGAAUUAUUGGGCGUAAAGAGCUCGUAGGCGGUUUGUCGCGUCUGCUGUAAAAACCCGAGGCUCAACCUCGGGCCUGCAGUGGGUACGGGCAGACUAGAGUGCGGUAGGGGAGAUUGGAAUUCCUGGUGUAGCGGUGGAAUGCGCAGAUAUCAGGAGGAACACCAAUGGCGAAGGCAGAUCUCUGGGCCGUAACUGACGCUGAGGAGCGAAAGCAUGGGGAGCGAACAGG